UCUUUAACUUCUUUUACAAAAUCUCAAAUAUUUUUUCAAAUUAUCUAUACAUCAAAAAUUUUUUUCUUAUAGUUUUAUUUUUUUUUUCUCUUUAUUUUUUGUUUAUGUUUGAAGUAUGAUAGUAACGAAAAUAGUCGAAUAUUAUAAUUUAAAGAAAAGGAAGAAAAAAUUUUAAUAUAAAAACUAAAGUUAAAUAUCGAAUAUUAUCUAUCCGCCGCAACACGCGGGUCACUACACUAGUAUAUAAUAAAUAUAUAUUUUAAAUCUAAAUUUCAAUUUUAAGUCAUAAUAUUUAUUUUCAAAUUUUAAACUUCAAAUUUUAAAAUUUUUAAAUCUCUAAACUCUAUGAAAUUAAUUAAUUAAUUUUAUUCAUAAUUAAUUAAAUAUAUUAUAUUUAAUUAAUUUUAUUAAUAAUAUGCGUAAUAAAUUGCAUAAUAAAAUCUAACCUGAUAGAUGCAAUUUAAAUCACGUAAAAUAUCACUGUGUAAAAAAAUACAAAAUUUAAAUUUCAGGACUAAAAUUUUAAAAAUAUAGUGUAUAUGUGUAUAUAUAAAAUUAAUUUUAUUAAACAAGUUAUUCUACAAUCUUAUUUUUCUUCUAUUUAUUAAUUUUUUUAAAAUUAUUUUGAUAAAUUUAUCUCAAAUUCUUUUCAUAUAAAUUUUUAUAAAAUAAAUUGUUGUAUAAAUUUACUUUGCGAAUAUACCAAUUUUAAUGACUUUU
rnacentral:lncRNA from 1 species